rnacentral:tRNA from 1 species
UGCCCUGUGGUGUAAAUGGUAACACGCCUGUCUUUGGAGCAGGAUAGUCUAGGUUCGAAUCCUAGUGGGGCAG